AAACCGCCUCUUCCUCUGCCUCUGUGGCAUAACAGGUUAUCCAAAAUAUUUAAUAGGAGUACAAGGUUCGUGUAAUCUACCUAUCAGGAUAUACUUGGCCUAACCAAAAAAGCAUUUCGUCAAUAUACUAACUCAAGAACAAAACAUAGGCCAUCUUAACAGAAGAACAAAACAUAAGUAUUUCAUCAAGAUACUAACUGACUUAGCAAUAGAUUGAUAGACCCUAGCAAAUGAUACUAUGAAGUUUCCAUAUUGAACAAAGUGUGGAAACAAGACAAACCUGAAGUUUCCAUUGAAGUUGCCA